rnacentral:rRNA from 1 species
UAAGGAGCUUGCUCCUUUGACGUUAGCGGCGGACGGGUGAGUAACACGUGGGUAACCUACCUAUAAGACUGGAAUAACUCCGGGAAACCGGGGCUAAUGCCGGAUAACAUGUUGAACCGCAUGGUUCUACAGUGAAAGACGGUCUUGCUGUCACUUAUAGAUGGACCCGCGCCGUAUUAGCUAGUUGGUGGGGUAACGGCCUACCAAGGCGACGAUACGUAGCCGACCUGAGAGGGUGAUCGGCCACACUGGAACUGAGACACGGUCCAGACUCCUACGGGAGGCAGCAGUAGGGAAUCUUCCGCAAUGGGCGAAAGCCUGACGGAGCAACGCCGCGUGAGUGAUGAAGGUCUUCGGAUCGUAAAGCUCUGUUGUUAGGGAAGAACAAAUGUGUAAGUAACUGUGCACAUCUUGACGGUACCUAACCAGAAAGCCACGGCUAACUACGUGCCAGCAGCCGCGGUAAUACGUAGGUGGCAAGCGUUAUCCGGAAUUAUUGGGCGUAAAGCGCGCGUAGGCGGUUUUUUAAGUCUGAUGUGAAAGCCCACGGCUCAACCGUGGAGGGUCAUUGGAAACUGGA